rnacentral:rRNA from 1 species
UACGGCGGCCAUAGCGAAAGGGAAACACCCGGUCCCAUACCGAACCCGGAAGUUAAGCCUUCCAGCGCCGAUGGUACUGCAAUCGAGAGGUUGUGGGAGAGUAGGACGCCGCCGGAC